rnacentral:misc_RNA from 1 species
AAAUCAAGGCAUCAGUUUAUCAAUAAGGAAGUAAAUCAUGCAAACUUUAAUCUCUUGUAUGACAUCCAUAGGCACUACUGACAUGACUGAAAGUAGAAGUCUAGGUUUGUCUGGCAUUAUUUAACAGAAACCAUGCAAGCCCUACUCAGAUAGGGUAGAUUUCAGCUCUCCAUUGUUUCGGAGCUCCAUUACAAUAUCACAACCACCAACAAGCUCGCCUUUGUAAUAAAGCUGGGGAAAUGUUGGCCAGUUUGAGAACACCUUUAGUCCCUGCCUCACUUCUUCAUCAGA